GAACAGUAAACGUAGUUGUUAGUUGUUUACUAUUCUGUAUUCUGUGCUUUAACUUUAGUCGUUCGUUGGUUGUUGUGUUGAAUUAUUAAAUCUGUGGUUAUGCUGUGACCAAAAUUCCCUACAAAGAAUAUAUUUUAUGAUGUGUACCAAUAAAUAUAAAAAAUGUCAAGUAGACCGAAUCUUAUCAUCAGUUCCUGACUAUAUUCAAAAAAUUCAGUGCGAUACCAAUGAAAGGUUAGAACAACAUUGUAUAAAAAUAUUUCAAAAGUCAUUUCAUUAGUUCGGACUUCUAUUGUCUAAUUUGAUAUAAAAUGAUUUGAGACCCCUGAAUCAAUAAAAUCAAAAAGAUUUGAUGAAAAAAUAACAAUUAUACUAAGCGAAAAAAACUGAAAUUGUAAAUUAUUAUUAUAUAAUUGUGUAUUUUUCAGGUAAUCUUUUUGAUUUCAUUGAUUCUCUUAGGGAUUUCAAAUCAUUUUAUAUCAUAUUAGACAAUGGAAGUCUGAACUAAUGAAAUGCAAUGUGAAACAUUGUCAACCACCUUCAAACAUUUCAAAAGACAUUGCCGUUCAAAUGUGCUGUGAGAUCUUGUCCAAAUUUUUUUCUCAGUUAUGAAGAACGUAAUAAGUACCCAUUCAAAUUUCAUAAUUUUCCCACCGACAAAGCUCUUCGUGAAGUCUGGAAAGAAAAAUGUGGCUGGAAAGAAAAUUCAAACAUAACUUGUCGACUCAAAGUUUGUUCAGAUCAUUUUGAAUUAAAUGAUUACAUUAGAAAUUACAAGGAGGAAUUCAGCAAUCCCAAUUUCAAGAGACAGUUGAAGAGGAAUGCAAUACCAACCAAGAAUAUCAAUAAAGAAUAUUUUGAAGAUGACGUGGUAGAAGCCUUCUGUAGUAUUCCCUGCAGUCAUGUUAACCAUGAUACUGAGGAUUAUUUAGAUACACAGUUGAACAGUGGUGUAGUACUCAAAAAGAAUAUGAAAAUCAUUCAAUCCGAUAAAGAAUCUCUUGAGAAAACCUGUUGUAUUAAAACAAUGCAAUCCAGCUAUUCAAAUGAAUGUAUCAAAGAACCAGGAUUUUUGGAAGAAGUUAAGAUGGCAGUAGAUCAUAAUGAAAUCUUGAACAAAAAUAUGUCAGAACUACUUCUCAUAGAGAAAGAGAUUAAACAAAAACUGAAAAAGUGUGAGAGAAAGAUCAAGUUUGUUAAUAAAAAACUCAGAUCAGGAAAAAUCGAUAAAGAUAUAAUUCACAAAGUUUUUUCAGAUGCACAGAUAAAUGUUUUACAGGGCAAAAAGAAAGUUUAUUGGAGUAAUGAUGACUUGGCUGAAGCUUUUAUUUUACGGCAGAUUGGUACGAAACAAUGUUAUUUAUAUUUGAAAAAUACCUUGAAUAUCCCUCUUCCCUCAUUAUCAUGUAUUCAAAGAUGGGCAGCUUCUAGUCAUGUUUCAUAAUAUGUAAGGAUAAUUUAUGUCUCCAAUAAAAUUGUAUUUUUACUAAGUGAAAAUA